rnacentral:rRNA from 1 species
UAGGGAAUCUUUCCACAAAUGGACGCAAGUCUGAUGGAGCAACGCCGCGUGAGUGAAGAAGGGUUUCGGCUCGUAAAGCUCUGUUGUUAAAGAAGAACGUGGGUAAGAGUAACUGUUUACCCAGUGACGGUAUUUAACCAGAAAGCCACGGCUAACUACGUGCCCG